UCCCUCAGCUCCGGCCAUCCCUCAGUCCGGCCAUCCCUCAGCCCCUCCUCAGCCCGGCCAUCCCUCAGCCCGGCCAUCCCUCAGCCCCGGCCCUCUCUCAGCCCGGCCAUCCCUCAGCCCCUCCUCAGCCCGGCCCUCUCUCGAGGCCGGGCUCAGCCACACGGGGUCGGUGUGGCUCCGGUGCAGCGGCUUCGCUCCCUUUCAUACGUCCACAAGAAACAUUUUCCUGUGGCCGCACGAAAGCAGCUUUGCUAGAGCUGUGAAGCUUCUUGUUUUAUUACAGCCUGCCUGUUGGCUCACCCCUCCCAAAUAAGCUGCAGGACCUGGGAAUACGGGGGAACUGAGGAAAACAUGACUGGCACUGCGAACACACUCUCAUGUGAAGAGGCUCCUUUUGGAGUCACUCACUGUUUAUCAACAGGGCUGGGAUUAAAAAGGAUUUUAGCAGCCUUUAGAAGCCUGUUAAGUAGAAUUUGUUUUUAUUAACUCUGUCAUGUCCCAGAGCGGAGCACAGGGAGGAGCGACCAUGCCUUGCUGGCUUGGGUGGGCUUUGAGGUGGCAGUCAGGGAAAAGCCCGGCUGAGGAAGCGCAGCUGGAACUUCUGAAUGAGCUGAGUCAGGACGGCUGCUUUAUCCUUGUUUUACCCCUCGCCGAAGGGGUGUGUAGUUCAGAACUACACCAGAACCAGUUUCCAUCCCGUGCAUUAUGGAGCUCUGGCAGCCUCCUGGAGCCGAGCACCAGCCGUGGGGGCACAUGAGAUUAUGCAGGCCAUGUUCCUGGUUUAAAUAUGUGUAUGUUUUUCCUUUGGUUUUUUUUGUUUUUUUUUUUUUUUUUAAUUCAUUUUGGCUCAGGACGCAGUUACAGUCAUAUUGUUACAAACUUGUGUAUGUAAUAUUCUGCCGGUGAAAGGACUGUAUUUAAAUUGCAGCCCUGCUCCAAGCCUCACCUGCAAAGCAGAUCUGAUGGUGCGGAGGCCGUGGCACUGCCGAGAGCAGGCUGUGGGAACUGUGCCACUUUGUAGAGCUGAAUGGAGCACAGCGGAGAAUUGGAGCCACGGAAAACAGAGAUCACUCACUGUGCCGUGAGCUGCUCCGUGCAAAUUUACUCUUUAGCAGAAUUAGUGUUUGGAGGCUGAGAAGAUGCCAGCGUUCAUGCAAGACCUGCACGGUGUGCGGGCUGCGUCUGACGGCUGCGGCUCAGUGCCCCUCGGCUGAGCUGUGUGGCUCGCUGCAGCUCACUGGGCAGGGAAAUGAGACCCGCACCCCAGGCACUGGGCUGGGUAAUUGGGCCCUGCUCUUUGGGGGAAACGCUCUUUGCCGAGAAAUCUCUUUGAGUUUGCUUAGAUGAUUAGAAUCUCCUGACGCCUUAGGUCGAGCUUUCACUGAGGAGCUCUCCCUGCACCGGGCAUCUGAGCACUGCUGCCGGGAGUCACAGGAGGGACUCCCAGCCCUCCGGGGCAGGGGUGCUCUGACACAGCCUGCGGCUUCAAGGGAAGGGCAGGCACUGCAGCUGCACAGCUGCUCCUUCCCGAUGCUUUGGGAAGGGCAGCCCAUGGGCUGCCUGGAGCUGCAGCCUGGAGGCACCAAACACCAAACACCAGGCGCCGUCCCUUUGCCGAGGCACCAGCUCCGGCUGCACACAGUGCCAGAAUCCCACACUGCUUCGGGGUGGAAAGGACCUUAAAACUCAUCCCAUCCAUAGCCCAGAUUGCUCCAGGCCCCACCUGGCCUCGAACACCACCUGGACAGGGAAUUUGGAUUUGCAAGAGACCUUGAAAUGGCUCCAAUCUGAGAAAAGUACUCAUAAAAGUACUCGCUUAGUACAUGGGUUACACAGUGCUGGUGUCAUGAUAAUACUACCAAAGCUUUGUUUUAGCUGUAAUGUUAAAAAAAACCCACACUUUAAUUACACCAGUGUUAGUAACAGAAUAGUUUGAAUCAGACUGAGAAUAAAAGUAUUAUUUAAAGAACUCUGGAGGAAUGGGAAGAUGGGGAAAGGGGGAGGAGGAAGAUGUCUGCUGAAACAGGCCUUCUUGUGGCAGAACUUGAGAGGGAGGAAGGAAGCGCCUUGCUGAGGGGAGGCUGAAAACAGCGAUUUUUGUUUGAUUUUAAUCCUUGCUUGCCCAUGUGUCCAUGAAGUCUGUGCCUGCCUGCACAUGCUGGCUCUCUUGCAGGGUCAGGGCUGUUUGUGUGGCAGAUUGCUUUGUUGAACAGUGGCCAUGGAAUUCCAAAGGAGUUGUCAGCACACAUAUAUCAGCCAUUCUCCGGAAUGUUCCCUGAUGUGCAGUGAUGGAUAUGGAGAUCGCUGGAACAUGAUUCCCUCGCACUGUCAGCUUUUGGAAGGCUCAGACCUUGUGCUGUGCGUGUGCUGUGGGUCUGGUGUUCGCCAGCAGGAGCAAAGGGUUUCUGUGCAGGAGCUGUGACCCCUCUCUGUGUGAUACACAAUGACAAAAAGCGAUGUUGUGUCUCCAUUCCAGCCGUGCUCCCAGGCUGUGCUCACAUCCUGAGCAGCUGGGAAAGCUGCUCUUCCCCUUUGCUUGUUUGGGAUGAAAAUACAUUCUGCACUUGAGUUAUGAAUAAAAGAUCAAGGGCAAAUCUGUGUAAUGCUUUGCUCUGUGAAUAAACCCGCCUUCAUGGCACUCACGCUCUUUGCUGGAAGAUCCUUUCUCAGGGACACUCAGCCAUUUAGUGUUGCUUUAUGCUUUUUCUUCAAAGUGAAAGAUUUGUUAGGGCUUCCCAUUCGCACGUACCGCUGGAUUUGAGCAGAUGAGAAUUUCACUGUGUGUAAUUCACACUGCUGGAUCAGGGGAUAAUCUCUGAUUUAGCUCGCUAUCACUUGUUCUUGCCUGGCUUGCCUUGCAGGGAGCUCAGUCUCUGGAGCUGGGCGAUGGGAAGGAUACACCCCUGCUGGAGAGGUGGCUGGGUGAGGGGGCUGGGACUCGCAGGAGUCUGGGAUUGGUUCUCCCAGGCUGAGGCUGGAUUGGCAUUCCUGUCUGGGAGCACCAGUGAGGACACGAUUCUGCCUCUUGGGGAGACCACUGGCCCUCAUGAUAGGCUCAGUCCAGACAUUUCCUUAUUCCCCUGCCAUGCCACCAUGCUCAGAAUCUGCCCUCUUCUCGCUGGCUAGAUGGAGUUCUGCCCUGGGAAACAUUGCCUGGGCUCAGUACUCAGACACAGCCUGCUGAGAAGUACAGAAUGUUACAGGGAACAGGGCUCAAGGACUCUUCAUCCAUCCUUAGGUGGCACCUUGAAGUUGUUCCUGAAUCAAAGUGCAAGCCUGGAACUGGAAGUGCUGUUCUUCUUUCUUCCUUUUUUUAUUUUAACUAUUGUGUGCAAAGAUCACACAGAGCGAUGAAAGUUCUCAUGUGGCUUUUUAGGUGGAAUCUUCUGUCCAAAAUCCAACUUGGAUGUAUUUUUUCCCUCAGAAUUACUACUUCAGUUUCUUCUACUUUCAAUUGCUCCUUCUCCAGGCACCUCAAAGCUCUUGUGUUGUUGCUGAUAAACAGUUUCCACAUUUCUCACUACGUGUGGGCGACUUGAUUCGAAUUUCCAGCCUGUGUGUUUCCUCUGGAGAUAGGAGGUGACACACACACACACACACACACACACACACACUGCUACUCCAGCCCAGGUAACGCUGCCCUUCCUUUCUAGCACUCAUUGCUGCUGCUUUUCAGACACCUAUUUCUAACACCCACCAAAUUCUAUAAAGUCAGUUGUUCCAUGAUUUCCUGAAAUGCCAAUUUAGCACUUUGUCAUAAGGAAUGACCUCAAACCUGUGAAUGAUGUCACAGCAUUCAUGGAUUGGCUUCCAGCACAGUUAUGCUGGGACUUUUGGAACAUACACUUUGAGCUCAGGCUAAAUUUUCCCUUGCCUGUGCUGAGGGUUAUGAAGGCAUCUGUCAGAAGUGAGAACUGCUUCAUCCUCCUCCCUUUGAUGGAUACUGCUUUUCUCUUCCAUCAGAACUGUAGUUGCCCCUUGGUGUGGUCCUGACACAUAUUUUACAUUUAGGUCACCGUGUAUUUAGCCCAGAUUUUAAAGUUUCACUCUCUCAAGCUGCAUUUUGAUGGAUUUGGCUUGUAUUUAGCUGAGGAGCAUUACGUGAUGCUUUUACUCCUGAAGUCAUCUCAUCAAAGGAACUUGUGUUACAGUGAAAUGAUUGGAACGUCCCUGUGUGAAGAAAUAAAAGCAGGCCAAUUCUGAUGAUAAUGUUUCAAAAAGACUUCGAGCUUAGAGCUGUCUGUACUGGCUAAUCACAGGGAAUCCGUGCCUGAUGCUCAUUAGAGCUUGCCAGGAGUCCCAGGGACAGCACUGUCACUCCCUGAGGCAUCUGUCAUUCCCUCUGGUCAUGCAGGUGUUAAAUCCUGUCUGCACCGACUGCACCAGGCUCUCAAAAAGAUUACAGCCAUUUUUUCAGAAGACUCUCACUGAAGUAUCUGCAGCCUCAGCUGGUGCUAAUACACCAAGGCUGUGGAUUCAAUUCCCGUGUGGAUUUACUUAAGAGCUGGGCUCCAUGAUCCUUGACGCUUCCAACUCAGAAUAUUCUGUCAAUCUGUGAACUUAAGUGCAGUCAGCAAAAUCUACCCCUGCAUGAUGACUCCAUCACACGGAGACUUCACCCUAAAGCUUUUAGUCAACCUUUGAGUAAAAGGCUUUCUUUUCUCU